UUUAGCAAAAACAUGUCUAUAUGAGAGUUAUAUAAAGUCUGGCCUGCCCAUUGGGAACUGAAAGGCCGCGGUAUUAUGACCGUGCGAAGGUAGCAUAAUCAUUAGUCUUUUAAUUGGGGGCUGGAAUGAAUGGUCGGACGAGAAGUAAGCUGUCUUUAUUUCAUAGAUUGAAUUUAACUUUUAAGUGAAAAGGCUUAAAUGAAUUAGAGGGACGAUAAGACCCUAUAAAGUUUAUACAUGGGGCUAGUUAAGAAUGAUUCAGAAUAGUAAAGUUUAUUAUUAGCAGGAUGUUUGGUUGGGGCGACUAGAAUAUAAGUUAUAUAACUGUUUUUUAUUUAAGUCAGAGAUAUCUGUUUAUAAUGAUCCCUUUUUAGGAUUAAAGAGUAAAUUACUUUAGGGAUAACAGCGUAAUUUUUUUUGAGAGUUCUUAUCGACAAAAGAGUUUGCGACCUCGAUGUUGAAUUAAAAAUUUCUUUGUGGUGUAGUGGCUACAGGAGAAGGUCUGUUCGACCUUUAAAUUUUUACAUGAUUUGAGUUCAGACCGGCGUGAG
rnacentral:rRNA from 1 species